rnacentral:rRNA from 1 species
GACGAACGCUGGCGGCGUGCUUAACACAUGCAAGUCGAACGGAAAGGCCCUGCUUUUGUGGGGUGCUCGAGUGGCGAACGGGUGAGUAACACGUGAGUAACCUGCCCUUGACUUUGGGAUAACUUCAGGAAACUGGGGCUAAUACCGGAUAGGAGCUCCUGCUGCAUGGUGGGGGUUGGAAAGUUUCGGCGGUUGGGGAUGGACUCGCGGCUUAUCAGCUUGUUGGUGGGGUAGUGGCUUACAAAGGCUUUGACGGGUAGCCGGCCUGAGAGGGUGACCGGCCACAUUGGGACUGAGAUACGGCCCAGACUCCUACGGGAGGCAGCAGUGGGGAAUAUUGCACAAUGGGCGGAAGUCUGAUGCAGCAACGCCGCGUGCGGGAUAACGGCCUUCGGGUUGUAAACCGCUUUCGCCUGUGACGAAGCGUGAGUGACGGUAAUGGGUAAAGAAGCACCGGCUAACUACGUG